CUCUUCCGCCCGGCGCCCGCGCAUUCCUGCCAUUCCCCCGAGUCGGCCCGCGGGCUACGGCCGCCUGCGGAGCGCAGGAACCUUCACCUCCCGAGGACAGGCGCCUUCCCCUCGGGACCCGGCUCCCCUGCUGCCUGCGCCGCUCUGUCCCCCUGCCGCUGCCCAAGCCUCCAGCAGGGGCCACCGAGGGCUCCAGGAGCACCCCAGGCCCGUUCUUCUGGCCCACAGCGCCCCUCCUGUGACCCUCAGCGACCCUCCUGUCCUGCCCUCCGGCGGCGCGGCUGUCUGGAGACUCUGCACCGUCGCGGCCUCGCAGCCUCGCAGCCCCGCGCCGGGUGGGGAGGGGAGGGUGGCGUUCCUGAGUCCGCGGAGGAAAGGGUCGCAGCUGCAGUCGCGCCAGCCCUCGGGCCUACAUCCGCUCCGCCGCGACGCGGCUCACAAACUAGGGAGGGGAGAAGGGAAGAAAGACCCGAUUCGGGAACACGGCUUUGUCCCUGGAACUGUACCUCAUGUCCCCUCACUUAAUCCUCCCAAGACCUGUGGGGCGUGUCGUCAUUUUAGGGCUGGAGAUGAGGAAACCGAGGCUCGGAGAGAUGAAGCGUUGUACGGCCACCGAGCGGCUGCUUUGCAACGAAGCCAAAGCCAACGUUUUGUUCUUAGCGGCGGUCGUUUGAGCCACGCCUCACCGCAACGAGUCUGCCAUCAGCCAAGAGAUGGAGUGAAGGUACCUGAGCGCAGGAACCAUGGUCUUCAUUGCUGCCUCAGCAUUAGCGGAAGUGCCACGGGCCGGCUCCCAGGGGGCCAGAGUUUCCCAGGAACACCAUUGAGUACCACUGAACUAGAGUCUGCAAGUUAAAGUAAGGCAAGAAGGAAAACCGGAAACAACUGUAAAAACCUGACCUUUCGUCACCUUAAUACUGGCCAUCAUUUAUCGAGUGCUUAUUAUGUAACAGACAUUGUUCUCAGUGUGUGAGUGCAGUGUUCCUCAAACCUAAAUGUGGGCCUGAAUCGCAGCGGAUCUUGGUAAAAUGCAGUUUCUCAUUCAGUACCUCUGGGGUGCGGCCUGAGAUUCUGCAUUUCCAACAAGCUCCCAGGAUACUUUGUAUAGAAAGGCUUUGGUGUAUUAACUAACUCGAUCUUCUUAAUAAUCCUAUGAAAUACUACUGCUAUUCCCAUUUUACAGAUGAGGAAACAGAGGUUAAGCAUAUAUGAACUUACAUCAAAAUAAAUAGACUGCAGGGCAAGGAGGGAGGGGAGAAUAGUGUGGGCAGUGUACAGUGCAGAAACAAAGUUCUAGGCAGAGGAAAAAGGAUUUACAGAAAGCCUGGCAUACAGGGCAGGGGGACGGGGCCUGCACACGGGGCUGUUUCACCGUUAGACGUUAUAAGCACAGUACUUGGGGCUAUGGGCUUCCUGAAGGUCCCAAGUAUUUGAGACCUGAAAAAAAUUUAUUGACACCUACAUAGGAAAAGUGAACUUUUAAAUUAAUAAUUCCAAAAUUCAAAUCACGAAUUGUUUCAAAAAUUUUACAUGAUAGAAUUCAUAUUUAGUAAGCGAUACGGGUAUAUUUUAAUGCAUUUGAUUUUAAAAACGGGGUAGGGCCUACUAAGAACAGGCCAAGCCCUGGCCCCAGUGGGUUUGGAUAUAAUCCUGAGGGCAGCUGGGAACCACUGAGAGAAGCAGGAGAAUGUUCUCUGUGGCUACAGUGAGGAGAAUGGAUUGGAGGGAGGCCAGACUGGAGGCCCAGUGGCUAGAGACCAGAUAGGCAGUUACAGUCUUCCAGACUGCGAGACAAUCUCUCUUUAGUGCCAAGAUUAGCAUAAAAUCAUAGCAUUAUAUAACCCAAUUAUUCUUUGAUUCCUGCAUCCCCAAUCUGACUCAGCAUUCUAAAUUUACUUAAGAUCUGGGGACAAGGGUUUUUGGCAAAUCCUUGAAGGCAAAUGAUGUUACAGUCAAUCAGUAUAUGCCUUGAGCCAGACAGACAUGGGUACGGGCCUCAGUUCUGCUGCUUGCUAGCUAUGUGACUUUGCACAAGUGAUUUAACUUCUCUGGGCCUUGGAUUCCUUACUGGUAACACGAGCAUAAUCGAUUCCUCACAGAAUUAAGUGAGAAAACUAUGUAUGUAGGACUUCUUAUGGAGUGGGUACUUAGAAAUAAAUGGUAGCCGU
rnacentral:lncRNA from 1 species